rnacentral:rRNA from 1 species
CCUACGGGAGGCAGCAGUGGGGGAUAUUGCACAAUGGGGGAAACCCUGAUGCAGCGACGCCGCGUGUGGGAAGACGGUCUUCUGGAUUGUAAACCACUGUCCCCAGGGACGAAAAUGACGGUACCUGGGGAGGAAGCUCCGGCUAACUACGUGCCAGCAGCCGCGGUAAUACGUAGGGAGCAAGCGUUGUCCGGAAUUACUGGGUGAAAAGGGAGCGUAGGCGGGGAUGCAAGUUGGGUGUCAAAACUACCGGCUCAACCGAUAGUCGCACUCAAAACUGCAACUCUUGAGUGAAGUAGAGGCAGGCGGAAUUCCUAGUGUAGCGGUGAAAUGCGUAGAUAUUAGGAGGAACACCAGUGGCGAAGGCGGCCUGCUGGGCUUUUACUGACGCUGAGGCUCGAAAGUGUGGGGAGCAAACAGGAUUAGAUACCCCUGUAGUC